GCCAGCAGAGAAGCCACCCCGCGUGGGACAGGAUGUGGCGGGUCUCGGAGGUUGGCGGGUCCAGGCGGGGCAAGAGCUGGGUGCUGGUCCCCACGGCCUGUCCUCCGGAUAGAGGAACAGGAGUUGGGCUCUGUAAGGACAGAUGAAGAACACAGUGGGGCAGGGGGAGUAUUUGUCUUCAAGAAGGAUUUAAGUGAAGAGGAGAAGCAAGCCAUUAAGAAUAAGCCGUUAAGAAUAAGAUUCCGGGUUCAAGUUCUGACCCC